GCGUUCUUGGUCUAAUGGUUAGGAUUGCUGCCUUCCAAGCAGCAGGUUCGGGUUGUAAGUGUUGAUUGAGAGAAUUCUUGUUGCCGCUACACACCAUCUAAUGCGUGUAACAGCAAUUCCCGGAGGACGCA